rnacentral:rRNA from 1 species
UACGGGGGGGGCAAGCGUUGUUCGGAAUUACUGGGCGUAAAGGGUUUGUAGGUGGCUUGUUAAGUCAGACGUGAAAUCCCUCAGCUUAACUGGGGAACCGCGUCUGAUACUGGUGGGCUCGAAUCCGGGAGAGGGAUGUGGAAUUCCAGGUGUAGCGGUGAAAUGCGUAGAUAUCUGGAGGAACACCGGUGGCGAAGGCGGCAUCCUGGACCGGUAUUGACGCUGAUGCGCGAAAGCCAGGGGAGCAAACGGG